rnacentral:rRNA from 1 species
UACGAAGGGGGCUAGCGUUGCUCGGAAUCACUGGGCGUAAAGCGCACGUAGGCGGACUCUUAAGUCGGUGGUGAAAUCCUGGAGCUCAACUCCAGAACUGCCUUCGAUACUGAGAGUCUCGAGUCCGGGAGAGGUGAGUGGAACUGCGAGUGUAGAGGUGAAAUUCGUAGAUAUUCGCAAGAACACCAGUGGCGAAGGCGGCUCACUGGCCCGGUACUGACGCUGAGGUGCGAAAGCGUGGGGAGCAAACAGGAUUAGAUACCCUGGUAGUCCACGCCGUAAACGAUGGAUGCUAGCCGUUGGCAGGCUUGCCUGUCAGUGGCGCAGCUAACGCAUUAAGCAUCCCGCCUGGGGAGUACGGUCGCAAGAUUAAAACUCAAAGGAAUUAACGGGGGCCCGCACAAGCGGUGGAGCAUGUGGUUCAACUCGAAGCAACGCGCAGAACCUUACCAACCUUUGGCAUGUCCCGUAUGAGCAACAGAGAUGUAGCUCUUCAGUUCGGCUGGCGGGAACACAGGUGCUGCAUAGCUGUCGUCAGCUCGUGUCGUGAGAUGUUGGGUUAAGUCCCGCAACGAGCGCAACCCUCGCCCUUAGUUGCCAUCAUUCAGUUGGGCACUCUAAGGGGACUGCCGGUGAUAAGCCGCGAGGAAGGUGGGGAUGACGUCAAGUCCCCAUGGCCCUUACAGGUUGGGCUACACACGUGCUACAAUGGCGGUGACAGUGGGACGCAAUGGAGCAAUCCUGCGCAAAUCUCAAAAAGCCGUCUCAGUUCGGAUUGCACUCUGCAACUCGAGUGCAUGAAGUUGGAAUCGCUAGUAAUCGCAGAUCAGCACGCUGCGGUGAAUACGUUCCCGGGCCU